rnacentral:rRNA from 3 species
ACUUUUAACAACGGAUCUCUUGGUUCUCGCAUCGAUGAAGAACGUAGCAAAGUGCGAUAACUAGUGUGAAUUGCAUAUUCAGUGAAUCAUCGAGUCUUUGAACGCAACUU